rnacentral:rRNA from 1 species
AUGAACGCUAGCUACAGGCUUAACACAUGCAAGUCGAGGGGCAGCAUGAACUUAGCUUGCUAAGUUUGAUGGCGACCGGCGCACGGGUGAGUAACACGUAUCCAACCUGCCGAUGACUCGGGGAUAGCCUUUCGAAAGAAAGAUUAAUACCCGAUGGCAUAGUUCUUCCGCAUGGUAGAACUAUUAAAGAAUUUCGGUCAUCGAUGGGGAUGCGUUCCAUUAGGUUGUUGGCGGGGUAACGGCCCACCAAGCCUUCGAUGGAUAGGGGUUCUGAGAGGAAGGUCCCCCACAUUGGAACUGGGACACGGUCCAAACUCCUACGGGAGGCAGCAGUGAGGAAUAUUGGUCAAUGGACGAGAGUCUGAACCAGCCAAGUAGCGUGAAGGAUGACUGCCCUAUGGGUUGUAAACUUCUUUUAUACGGGAAUAAAGUGAGGCACGUGUGCCUUUUUGUAUGUACCGUAUGAAUAAGGAUCGGCUAACUCCGUGCCAGCAGCCGCGGUAAUACGGAGGAUCCGAGCGUUAUCCGGAUUUAUUGGGUUUAAAGGGAGCGUAGGCGGACGCUUAAGUCAGUUGUGAAAGUUUGCGGCUCAACCGUAAAAUUGCAGUUGAUACUGGGUGUCUUGAGUACAGUAGAGGCAGGCGGAAUUCGUGGUGUAGCGGUGAAAUGCUUAGAUAUCACGAAGAACUCCGAUUGCGAAGGCAGCCUGCUGGACUGUAACUGACGCUGAUGCUCGAAAGUGUGGGUAUCAAACAGGAUUAGAUACCCUGGUAGUCCACACAGUAAACGAUGAAUACUCGCUGUUUGCGAUAUACAGUAAGCGGCCAAGCGAAAGCGGUAAGUAAUCCACCUGGGGAGUACGGCCGCAAGGUUGAAACUCAAAGGAAUUGACGGGGGCCCGCACAAGCAGUGGAGUAUGUGGUUUAAUUCGAAGCAACGCGAAGAACCUUACCAGGCCUUGACAUCCCGAUGACCGGUCUAGAGAUAGACCUUCUCUUCGGAGCAUCGGUGACAGGUGGUGCAUGGUUGUCGUCAGCUCGUGUCGUGAGAUGUUGGGUUAAGUCCCGCAACGAGCGCAACCCUUAUCCUCAGUAGCCAGCAAGUGAAGUUGGGCACUCUGUGGAGACUGCCAGGGAUAACCUGGAGGAAGGUGGGGAUGACGUCAAAUCAGCACGGCCCUUACGUCCGGGGCUACACACGUGUUACAAUGGGGGGUACAGAAGGCAGCUACACGGCGACGUGAUGCUAAUCCCUAAAGCCUCUCUCAGUUCGGAUUGGAGUCUGCAACCCGACUCCAUGAAGCUGGAUUCGCUAGUAAUCGCGCAUCAGCCACGGCGCGGUGAAUACGUUCCCGGGCCUUGUACACACCGCCCGUCACACCAUGAGAGUCGGGAACACCCGAAGUCCGUAGCCUAACCUUUUAGGAGGGCGCGGCCGAAGGUGGGUUCGAUAAUUGGGGUG